UAGAGUUGAAAAACUCCUAAAACCCAUUGUAAACCUACCUGUUGUUGCUUCGGCAGGCGGCCCCAGGGCGGGGCCAUAGCCUGUUUGGCGUCUGCCGAAGGAACAAAAAAAACUCUUGCUGUCUUAGCAUAUCUGAAUCUAAAACAAAUAAGUCA
rnacentral:misc_RNA from 1 species